rnacentral:rRNA from 1 species
GCCGUUGGGGGCGUGCUUACACAUGCAAGUCGAGCGGUAAGGCCCUUCGGGGUACACGAGCGGCGAACGGGUGAGUAACACGUGAGCAACCUGCCCCUGACUCUGGGAUAAGCGGUGGAAACGCCGUCUAAUACCGGAUACGACCUUCCGCCUCAUGGUGGAGGGUGGAAAGUUUUUUCGGUCAGGGAUGGGCUCGCGGCCUAUCAGCUUGUUGGUGGGGUAACGGCCUACCAAGGCGAUUACGGGUAGCCGGCCUGAGAGGGCGACCGGCCACACUGGGACUGAGACACGGCCCAGACUCCUGCGGGAGGCAGCAGUGGGGAAUAUUGCGCAAUGGGCGAAAGCCUGACGCAGCGACGCCGCGUGGGGGAUGACGGCCUUCGGGUUGUAAACCUCUUUUACCACCAACGCAGGCUCCGGGUUCUCUCGGGGUUGACGGUAGGUGGGGAAUAAGGACCGGCUAACUACGUGCCAGCAGCCGCGGUAAUACGUAGGGUCCGAGCGUUGUCCGGAAUUAUUGGGCGUAAAGAGCUCGUAGGCGGCGUGUCGCGUCUGCUGUGAAAGACCGGGGCUUAACUCCGGUUCUGCAGUGGAUACGGGCAUGCUAGAGGUAGGUAGGGGAGACUGGAAUUCCUGGUGUAGCGGUGAAAUGCGCAGAUAUCAGGAGGAACACCGGUGGCGAAGGCGGGUCUCUGGGCCUUACCUGACGCUGAGGAGCGAAAGCAUGGGGAGCGAACAGGAUUAGAUAUCCUGGUAGUCCAUGCCGUAAACGC